rnacentral:tRNA from 1 species
GCAUUGAUGGUUCAGUGGUAGUAUUUUCACCUGCCACGCGGGAGACCCGGGUCCGAUUCCCGGCCAAUGCA